rnacentral:lncRNA from 1 species
UACAGGUUUAGUGUAGUACUGCACAAAAUUAGUGCGAUUUUUACUGGACAGGCAAAAUAUAAAAAAGCAAAAACAAAAUUUCCUUUCCUUCAGUGGCAUUUCUUUACACUCAGUUUUAAUACUUUGAUUAAUAAUCUUGCAUGGCUCCUCUUGCACAAUGUGUUUCAUAGAUUACUAGAGUAAAAACAGUUAAGGUUUUGCUCUGCAAAGAUAAAAGGGCAGCAGAGCACAAGAUGCAGGUAGGGCCCUUACUUCCAGUCGUGAGGCACUUCUACCACAUUUCCUUUUGUACCUCCACACGUUUUCUUUCCCGCAUUGCUCACAGUUGGAUGUAGACAAAAUUAGGCUUUAUCCUUCUGACUCAGAUAAACAGGAGCAGGAAGGACACCCUUCCCCACCUCUCAUUUUGGAAUGCAAAAAAUACUCUCUGGUGAGGUAAUCCUGUGGUCUGGAGUUUCAAAUUGAUUUGGACAGAUGUCUGAAGGCUAUAUAGCCUGAUGACCUUCCCCACUAAUCCAAAGUAUUUCCUUCUCUUUAUGUCUUCCUAUGGGCUACCUCUUCUCUCCUCUGGUUCUCCCAUUUCCUUUCCUCCCUGAUGCACCCUCUAUCACCAGACAUCAGCAGGGGAUCAGAUUCCGCUCCUGCAGAUAGAGAAUCCCACAGCAGCCACAGCAGUUUGGCUGAGCUUCCCGGGCUGCUAGGGCAUUUCAUCGAGCAUGAGCUCCAUCAGUUCCCAGUCCUCAGUGAGGAAGUUUUCCACCUAGCCCCUGAAGGAGCACUUCACACUCAUCCGUGUCUUCCACCACCCUUCCUGCUCUGGGAGGUGGCAGUCAUCUCCCCCGCGGGACCCGUGAGCAGCAAGAAGGAACACAGUCUCUCAAGAUUGCACGUCAGUGCCGUCUGAGAUGUCUCUGAACGUGCGUCUGCAUUUUCUGUUUGAUUAACAGCAUUGUCUCGCACAUUCUUGGGAUAAGAGAGCCAUGAAGCCAGGCAGAGGCUUUUCCUACUAGGGUGAAAGGGGCAGGACUCGGACAGACAAAAACCUAGCAAACUCUUUCAGUGUUUUCAAAGCAAGUGACUGCAUUUGGAAAAAAAUAAAAAUAAUAAAAAAAAAAUGACCCA